rnacentral:rRNA from 1 species
AUUGAACGCUGGCGGCAGGCCUAACACAUGCAAGUCGAGCGAGCGGCGGACGGGUGCGUAAUGUCUGGGAAACUGCCUGAUGGAGGGGGAUAACUACUGGAAACGGUAGCUAAUACCGCAUACCAUCAGAUGUGCCCCGAUGGGAUUAGCUAGUAGGUGGGGUGACGGCUCUCCUAGGCGACGAUCCCUAGCUGGUCUGAGCGGAUGACCAGCCACACUGUAACUGAGCCACGGUCCAGGUUCCUACGGUAGGCAGCAGCGGGGAAUAUUGGACAAUGGGCGCAAGCCUGAUACAGCCAUGCCGCGUGUGUGAAGAAGGCCUUGGGUUUGUAAAGCACUUGCAGCGGGGAGGCGUUACCCGCAGAAGAAGCACCGGCUAACUCCGUGCCAGCAGCCGCGGUAAUUC